AGUGGUGUAAAUGAUGACUGAUCUUUUUUCCCCAGCAGAUCGACCUUGUUGACCCCCUAUAUUUUAAAGCCAAAUAGUCUGAUGCACCCGU